GCCCAGCUAGCUCAGUUGGAAGAACAGGGGACUUUUAAUCCCAGGGUUGUGGGUUCAGGCCCCAUGUUGGGUG
rnacentral:tRNA from 1 species